rnacentral:rRNA from 1 species
UACGUAGGGUGCAAGCGUUGCCCGGAUUUAUUGGGCGUAAAGCGCGUGUAGGUGGUUCGGUGUGCUCCGUGUGAAAUCUCCCGGCUCAACCGGGAUAGGUCACGGAUGACUACUGAACUCGAGCCUGGGAGGGGAAAGUGGAAUUCCCGGUGUAGUGGUGGAAUGCGUAGAUAUCGGGAGGAACACCAGUGGCGAAGGCGACUUUCUGGACCAGAGCUGACACUGAGACGCGAAAGCGUGGGGAGCGAUCCGG